AUUGAACGCUAGCGGCAUGCUUAACACAUGCAAGUCGAGCGGAGUGGCGGACGGGUGAGUAAUGUAUCGGAACCUGCCUGAUUGCGGGGGAUAACUACUCGAAACGGUAGCUAAUACCGCAUACUAUUGGCUCUGCCCAUAUGGGAUUAGCUAGUUGGUGUGGGAAAGGCUCACCAAGGCGACGAUCCGUCGCUGGGUUGAGAGGACGACCAGCCACACUGGAACUGAGAGACGGCCCAGACUCCGACGGGAGGCAGCAGUGGGGAAUAUUGGACAAUGGGGGAAAGCCUGAUACAGCCAUUCCGCGUGUGUGAAGAAGGCCUGCGGGUUGUAAAGUACUUUCGGCGGAGAAGCGGUAUCUGCAGAAUAAGCACCGGCUAACUACGUGCCAGCAGCCGCGGUAAUUC
rnacentral:rRNA from 1 species